GCCGCGGUAAAACCAGCACCUCAGUGGUCAGGAGGAUUAUUGGGCCUAAAGCAUCCGUAGCCGGCUCUGUAAGUUUUCGGUUAAAUCCAUGCGCUCAACGCAUGGGCUGCCGAAAAUACUGCAUAGCUAGGGAGUGGGAGAGGUAGACGGUACUCGGUAGGAAGGGGUAAAAUCCUUUGAUCUAUCGAUGACCACCUGUGGCGAAGGCGGUCUACCAGAACACGUUCGACGGUGAGGGAUGAAAGCUGGGGGAGCAAACCGGAUUAGAUACCCGGGUAGUCCCAGCUGUAAACGAUGCAGACUCGAUGAUGCAUUGGCAUAUAGCCAGUGCAGUGUCGCAGGGAAGCCGUUAAGUCUGCCGCCUGGGAAGUACGUACGCAAGUAGAAACUAAAGAAUUGGCGGGGGAACACGGUC
rnacentral:rRNA from 1 species